GCAUACACUCUUUAAGCUUGACCUCAAAUCAGGUAGGAUUACCCGCUGAACUUAAGCAUAUCAAUAAGCGGAGGAAAAGNAACUNNCANGGAUUCCCCUAGUAACUGCGAGUGAAGAGGGAAGAGCUCAAAUUUAAANUCUGGCUGUCCUUGUGGCGNUNCGAGUUGUAGUUUAGAGAAGUGCUAUNCGCGCUGNCCUGUGCAAAAGUUUCUUGGAAAAGAACAUCAUAGAGGGUGACAAUCCCGUCUUUGGCACAGAUAACCGGGGCUUUUGUGAUGCGCUCUCGACGAGUCGUGUUGUUUGGGAAUGCAGCACUAAAUGGGUGGUAAAUUCCAUCUAAAGCUAAAUAUUGGCGAGAGACCGAUAGCGAACAAGUACCGUGAGGGAAAGAUGAAAAGAACUUUGAAAAGAGAGUUAAACAGUACGUGAAAUUGUUGAAAGGGAAACGCUUGAAGUCAGUCGUNUCUUCCAGGGAUCAAGUUGCCUUUGGGUGACCGUAUUUUUCUGGUGGACAGGUCAGCAUCAAUUUUGACCGUUGGAUAAAGGCCUUGGUAAUGUGGCAUCCCCGGAUGUGUUAUAGACCUUGGUUGGAUACAACGGUUGGGAUUGAGGAACUCAGUGUGCCUUCAUGGUUGGGGCUUUUGCCCACAUCGCACGCUUAGGAUGCUGGCAUAAUGGCUUUAAUCGACC
rnacentral:rRNA from 1 species